rnacentral:lncRNA from 12 species
GCAUUCUUCAAUACUGUAUCGGGUUCAUGGACGAAAAGGGAAAUCAUUCCAGCAUAUAGUCCCAUUCUCUAAGCCUGACAUCAGGUUAGAAAACUCUCAGGAGCGUGAACACAAUUUCCCCAUAGAAUGAAAGCAGCUUGCAACGAAUUCCGGUUGGAUUGUGGCGCUGGCCCAUGGCUGAGUGAUAUGAGUUCCCACCUCGCCAGUCCUAGAAAAGUAUUCUACCCUGGACAGGCCAGAGGGAACCCUGUGCCAGCUGCCAGGGAGACUGACAUCGUGAUCACACAUCACACCAAUAUAAUGGUUUCUGCUCCUGUUGGAACACGGGAAAAUACAAUCUUUGAAUUCUACCUUGGGGGAAAAAAGGUAAUCAAGUUUAUUAAUAGAGUGGAAGAACAACCAAACUGUAUAUAAAAGUAUUUAUUAAUUCAAUGAAUAUCUUUUUGAAAUAAUUUGUAUUUUAGCAUAUAUGUGUCGAC